GGAAAAGUUGCUUGGCACUAAAGCAGCAAGACCUAUUUCCAGGUAUAAAAGCAUCAUGAAGGUCAGCAGCGAAAGGAAUAAAAAGGCCCAGCGAAUUAUGUAACCAGGCCUGGAUACAGGCAUGAAAUGAGGAAACAGAGUUGUCCAAGCUUCC
rnacentral:lncRNA from 1 species